rnacentral:rRNA from 1 species
GUAUCGGAACGUGCCCAGUCGUGGGGGAUAACUGCUCGAAAGAGCAGCUAAUACCGCAUACGACCUGAGGGUGAAAGCGGGGGAUCGCAAGACCUCGCGCGAUUGGAGCGGCCGAUAUCAGAUUAGGUAGUUGGUGAGGUAAAGGCUCACCAAGCCGACGAUCUGCAGCUGGUCUGAGAGGACGACCAGCCACACUGGGACUGAGACACGGCCCAG